rnacentral:RNase_P_RNA from 2 species
ACGUUCAGGUAAUCGCUGCAUCAUUUGAUGUAGAGGAAAGUCCAUGCUCGCACGGUGCUGAGAUGCCCGUAGUGUUCGUGCCUAGUGAAAAAAUAAGCUAGGGCAGCUUGGCUUGUAGCUUAGCUGACGGCGGGAAAAACCACCUAAGUCUUCGGAUAUGGUCUAGUAUCCCUGAAAGUGCCACAGUGACGAAGCUUUGCUGGAAACAGCAAAGGUGGAACGCGGUAAACCCCACGAGCGAGAAACCCAAACAAUGGUAGGGGAACUGUCUCUAAGGAAUCAAACGGAGAGACGGACGGUUACAUGUGUAAUCGUAGAUAGAUGAUUACCGCCUGAGUACGAGAAUAAAAUCGUUUGCAGUACAAAGGUACAAAACAUGGCUUAUCGAA